UUUUGGACAAUGGGGGCAACCCUGAUCCAGCAAUGCCGCGUGAGUGAAGAAGGCCUUCGGGUUGUAAAGCUCUUUUGUCAGGGAAGAAACACCGGCUCUAACACAGUCCGGGAAUGACGGUACCUGAAGAAUAAGCACCGGCUAACUACGUGCCAGCAGCCGCGGUAAUACGUAGGGUGCGAGCGUUAAUCGGAAUUACUGGGCGUAAAGCGUGCGCAGGCGGUUAUACAAGACAGGCGUGAAAUCCCCGGGCUUAACCUGGGAAUGGCGCCUGUGACUGUAUAGCUAGAGUGUGCCAGAGGGGGGUAGAAUUCCACGUGUAGCAGUGAAGUGCGUAGAUAUGUGGAGGAAUACCAAUGGCGAAGGCAGCCCCCUGGGAUAACACUGACGCUCAUGCACGAA
rnacentral:rRNA from 1 species